rnacentral:rRNA from 1 species
UGGGGAAUAUUGGACAAUGGGGGCAACCCUGAUCCAGCAAUGCCGCGUGUGUGAAGAAGGUCUUCGGAUUGUAAAGCACUUUCGACGGGGACGAUGAUGACGGUACCCGUAGAAGAAGCCCCGGCUAACUUCGUGCCAGCAGCCGCGGUAAUACGAAGGGGGCUAGCGUUGCUCGGAAUGACUGGGCGUAAAGGGCGUGUAGGCGGUUUGUACAGUCAGAUGUGAAAUCCCCGGGCUUAACCUGGGAGCUGCAUUUGAUACGUGCAGACUAGAGUGUGAGAGAGGGUUGUGGAAUUCCCAGUGUAGAGGUGAAAUUAGUAGAUAUUGGGAAGAAUCAUCCGGUGGCGAAGGCGGCAAUCCUGGCUCAUUAGCUAUCGCUA